UACGAAGGGGGCUAGCGUUGCUCGGAAUCACUGGGCGUAAAGCGCACGUAGGCGGAUCUUUAAGUCAGGGGUGAAAUCCCGGAGCUCAACUCCGGAACUGCCUUUGAUACUGAGGGUCUCGAGUUCGGGAGAGGUGAGUGGAACUGCGAGUGUAGAGGUGAAAUUCGUAGAUAUUCGCAAGAACACCAGUGGCGAAGGCGGCUCACUGGCCCGGUACUGACGCUGAGGUGCGAAAGCGUGGGGAGCAAACAGG
rnacentral:rRNA from 1 species